AGUCCAGUGGCACCUUAGGGACCAACUAAGUUUGUUCUUGGUAUAAGCUUUCGUGUGCAUGCACACUUCUGAAAGCUCAUACCAAUAACAAACUUAGUUGGUCUCUAAGGUGCCACUGGACA